rnacentral:rRNA from 1 species
UACAGAGGGUGCGAGCGUUAAUCGGAAUUACUGGGCGUAAAGGGCGCGUAGGCGGUUUAUCAAGUGAGAUGUGAAAUCCCCGGGCUUAACCUGGGAAUGGCAUUUGGGACUGCAAGGCUCGAGUGCGGCAGAGGAGACUGGAAUUCCUGGUGUAGCAGUGAAAUGCGUAGAUAUCAGGAGGAACACCGAUGGCGAAGGCAGGUCUCUGGGCUGACACUGACGCUCAUGCACGAAAGCGUGGGAGCAAACAGG